rnacentral:pre_miRNA from 1 species
CAAGUACUCCCUCCGUCCGGAAUUACUUGUCAUCAAAAUGGAUGUGUCUAGAACUAAAAUACAUCUAGAUACAUCCAUUUCAAUGACAAAUAUUUGCGGACGGAGGGAGUACAAG